rnacentral:lncRNA from 1 species
AUGGGCGAGUAGAGGAGAGUGCGGUGAUCUCACCUAGGGGGUCGAUUCAGCUCGAGAAGGAGCAGAAACAGCCGGGCGCUCGCCGCGGCGGAGAGGACUCUCGGCGAGAUCUAGUUCUCACGGAAAACGAAGCUAGAGCUUGGGUUGAACGGCUUAAGUGCGAAAGGGGGUCUACGGGGUUGAUUUGAGAGCUUUAUAAGGGCAUGGCACGCGGAUUGGCAAGGGAUCCCGAGGAAACCGGGAUUUCUCUGCCGUUCGGUGGAGUCUCCCGUUCGGUUACGGUGGAGUAGAAAGGAAGGGGGAAAGGAGUCGGAUGAUGGGUGGGGCUGUGAUGUCGGUGGGAGAAGGGUCAGGGCCCGGUCACCAGAGAGAAGAGAGCGGGAGUAGAGGGCUCGCGCUGGGCUGGCCU